UUCCAUUCACUUCUUCUAGCUUAUUCUGUCAUCUUAGUUUCUUUCCCAAGAUCUAGCCUAACAGUUAUGAAUCUGAAAUCUGGUUUAUAUUACUUAUGAGACCUGGGGCAAAACAAUAACUUCUCCAGGUCUCAGUUUCCUCAAUUGGAAAAUGGAUUAGAUGGAUCUCGAAGUCCUUGUCAGCUUUGAAUCUAGGAACCUAAAAUCAUUCCUAGCCAACCGUAUUUCUCACUGAUCAUCCAAUAAGGCUUCUUUACUCCAAUCAGACAGACUUAUAUACUCAAUGUCCCCAAAUAUCUCAUGAUGAUUUUCAACACUCUGCUUUUGCUCAGAAAAAAAAGACUGAAGCCAAGUGAGGUUAAAAGAACAAUUGUGGUGAGCUUGGAGAAUACUUCAAAAACUCAAUGACUUCAAAAUUAUCUGACUAAUUUGGUCA
rnacentral:lncRNA from 1 species